rnacentral:rRNA from 1 species
GAUGAACGCUAGCUACAGGCUUAACACAUGCAAGUCGAGGGACCGGCGCACGGGUGAGUAACACGUAUCCAACCUGCCCUUUACUCGGGCAUAGCCUUUCGAAAGAAAGAUUAAUACCCGAUACAAAGGAUGGGGAUGCGUUCCAUUAGGUUGUUGGUGAGGUAACGGCCCACCAAGCCUUCGAUGGAUAGGGGUUCUGAGUGGAAGGUCCCCCAGAUUGGAACUGAGACACAGUCCAAAAUACUACGGUACGCAGCAGUGAGGAGUAAUGGUCCAUGGGCGGUAGCCUGACGCAGCCAAGUAGCGUGAAGGAUGAAGGCUUAUGGGUCGUAAACUUCUUUUAUAUAAGAAUAUGUAUUAUAUGAAUAAGGAUCGGCUAACUCCGUGCCAGCAGCCGCGGUAAUAC